UAAUACAGAGGGUGCAAGCGUUGUUCGGAAUUAUUGGGCGUAAAGCGCGCGUAGGCGGUUACAAAAGUCUGAUGUGAAAGCCCGAGGCUUAACCUCGGAAGUGCAUCGGAAACUGCGUAACUUGAGUCUCGGAGAGGGUGGUGGAAUUCCAGGUGUAGAGGUGAAAUUCGUAGAUAUCUGGAGGAACAUCGGUGGCGAAGGCGACCACCUGGACGAUGACUGACGCUGAGGUGCGAAAGCGUGGGUAGCAAACAGGAUUAGAUACCCUGGUAGUCCACGCCGUAAACGAUGGAUACUAGGCGCAGCGGGUAUUGACCCCUGCUGUGCCGUAGCUAACGCAUUAAGUAUCCCGCCUGGGAAGUACGGCCGCAAGGUUA
rnacentral:rRNA from 1 species